GAUGAACGCUGGCGGCGUGCCUAAUACAUGCAAGUCGAGCGAACAGACGAGGAGCUUGCUCCUCUGACGUUAGCGGCGGACGGGUGAGUAACACGUGGAUAACCUACCUAUAAGACUGGGAUAACUUCGGGAAACCGGAGCUAAUACCGGAUAAUAUAUUGAACCGCAUGGUUCAAUAGUGAAAGACGGUUUUGCUGUCACUUAUAGAUGGAUCCACGCCGCAUUAGCUAGUUGGUAAGGUAAAGGCUUACCAAGGCAACGAUGCGUAGCCGACCUGAGAGAGUGAUCGGCCACACUGGAACUGAGACACGGUCCAGCCUCCUACGGGAGGCAGCAGUAGGGAACCUUCCGCAAUGGGCGAAAGCCUGACGGAGCAACGCCGCGUGAGUGAUGAAAGUCUUCGGAUCGUAAAACUCUGUUAUUAGGGAAGAACAAAUGUGUAAGUAACUAUGCACGUCUUGACGGUACCUAAUCAGAAAGCCACGGCUAACUACGUG
rnacentral:rRNA from 1 species